rnacentral:rRNA from 1 species
AAGAAGGACGACAAGACCCUAUGAAGCUUUAUCUUAAUUGGAGCUCUCAGGCUCUUAUACGAUUUUGAUGGGAGAUCAGUAGAAAGAAGUCUUCUACUAUCAUAUUAAUCUUACUAGUAUUUCCUAACUUUAUAUGUGUGGCUAGCUACUCUAGGGAUAACAGCGCAAUUUCUCCCGAAAGAUGGUAUUGGAGGGGAAGAUUGCGACCUCGAUGUUGGCUUUAGAUAUCCUAGAGGCGUAGAAGCUUCUGAUGGUGGGUCUGUUCGCCCUUUAAAAUCUAACAUGAGCUGAGUUCAGAACGGCGUGAGCUAGUUCAGUUUCUAUCCUCUU